UACGAAGGGUGCAAGCGUUAAUCGGAAUUACUGGGCGUAAAGGGUGCGUAGGCGGUUGUUUAAGUCUGUCGUGAAAUCCCCGGGCUCAACCUGGGAAUGGCGAUGGAUACUGGGCAGCUAGAGUGUGUCAGAGGAUGGUGGAAUUCCCGGUGUAGUGGUGAAAUGCGUAGAUAUCGGGAGGAACACCAGUGGCGAAGGCGACUACCUGGCCCACUCUUGACGCUGAGGCGCGAAAGCUAGGGGAGCGAACGGG
rnacentral:rRNA from 1 species